UGGGGAGUAAACUAGGCCGGAUAAGGU
rnacentral:piRNA from 1 species